GAUGAACGCUGGCGGCGUGCCUAAUACAUGCAAGUCGAGCGAACGGACGAUAAGCUUGCUUCUCUGAUGUUAGCGGCGGACGGGUGAGUAACACGUGUAUAACCUACCUAUAAGACUGGGAUAACUUCGGGAAACCGUAGCUAAUACCGGAUAAUAUUUUGAACCGCAUUGUUCAUUAGUGAAAUACGGUCUUGCUGUCACUUAUAGCUGCAUCCGCGCUGCAUUAGCUAGUUGGUAAGUUAACGGCUUACCAAGGCAACGAUGCAUAGCCGACCUGAGAGGGUGAUCGGGCACAGUGAAAGUGAGACACGGUCGAGACACCGAGGGGAGGCAGAGGUAGGGAAUGUAGCGAACUGGGCGAAAGCCUGAAGGAUGAACGGCGGGCGAGUGCUGAAAGGCCUCGGAUCGUAAGACUCUGUUAUGAGGGAAGAACAUAUGUGUAAGUAACGGUGCACGUCUGGCGGGUACCUAUGAAGAAGGCCCCGGCAACCUACGG
rnacentral:rRNA from 1 species